UGGGGAAUCUUGCACAAUGGGGGGAACCCUGAUGCAGCGACGCCGCGUGAGCGAUGAAGCCCUUCGGGGUGUAAAGCUCUUUCGGCAGGAACGAUAAUGACGGUACCUGAAGAAGAAGCUGCGGCUAACUACGUGCCAGCAGCCGCGGUAAUACGUAGGCAGCAAGCGUUGUUCGGAGUUACUGGGCGUAAAGAGUGCGUAGGCGGUGCUCUAAGUUUGGUGUGAAAUCUCCCGGCUCAACUGGGAGGGUGCGCCGAAAACUGGAGUGCUUGAGUAUGGAAGAGGCAAGCGGAAUUCCUGGUGUAGCGGUGAAAUGCGUAGAUAUCAGGAGGAACACCUGUGGUGUAGACAGCUUGCUGGACCAUCACUGACGCUGAGGCACGAAAGCGUGGGUAGCAAACAGGAUUAGAUACCCUGGUAGUCCACGCCCUAAACGAUGCAUACUUGGUGUGAGCCAUUCAUUUGGUUCGUGCCGGAGCUAACGCGUUAAGUAUGCCGCCUGGGGAGUACGGUCGCAAGGCUGA
rnacentral:rRNA from 1 species